CUCCGGUUGAUCCUGCCGGACCCGACUGCUAUCGGAUUGAGAUUUAGCCAUGCGAGUCGAACGUUCCCCUGUUGCGGGGAGCGUGGCGUACGGCUCAGUAACACGUAGUCAACCUGCCCUGAAGACAAGGACAACCCCGGGAAACUGGGAUUAAUCCUUGAUAGGUCAUCUCAUCUGGAAGGAGAGAUGGCUUAAAGGGGUGCGAGAGCUUCUUUCUUGUACCCGCUUCAGGAUGGGACUGCGGCCGAUCAGGCUGUUGGUGGGGUAAUGGCCCACCAAACCUGUAACCGGUACGGGCCUUGAGAGAGGGGGCCCGGAGAUGGACACUGAGAGAAGGGUCCAGGUCCUACGGGGCGCAGCAGGCGCGAAACCUUCACAAUGCGCGAAAGCGUGAUGAGGUUAAUCCGAGUGGUCCCCGCUGAGGGGAUCUUUUGUUGGCUCUAAAACGGCCAGUGAAUAAGGGGAGGGCAAGUCUGGUGUCAGCCGCCGCGGUAAUACCAGCUCCUCGAGUGGUCGGGGCGAUUAUUGGGCCUAAAGCAUCCGUAGCCUGUUCUGUAGGUCCGCUGUUAAAUCCAACGGCUUAACCGUUGGUCUGCAGCGGAUACCGCAGGACUAGGAGGCGGGAGAGGUGGACGGUACUCCACGUGUAGGGGUAAAAUCCUUUGAUCCGUGGAAGACCACCAGUGGCGAAGGCGGUCCACCAGAACGCGCUCGACGGUGAGGGAUGAAAGCUGGGGGAGCGAACCGGAUUAGAUACCCGGGUAGUCCCAGCCGUAAACGAUGCGAGCUAGAUGAUCCGGUCGCAAAUCGCGAUCGGAGUGUCGCAGGGAAGCCGUUAAGCUCGCCGCCUGGGGAGUACGGUCGCAAGACUGAAACUUAAAGGAAUGCCGGGGGAGCA
rnacentral:rRNA from 1 species